UCCCUUGUAGCUCAAUUGGUAAAGAGUUUGCCUGCAAUGCAAGAGACCCGGGUUCGAUUCCUGGGUUGGGAA
rfam:TPA: Bos taurus chromosome 1, whole genome shotgun sequence.